UUUCAUGCUGCCCUCUUGGCCAGAUCUCUCUUGAAAAACAGUUUAUCACAAUAAGACGUUCACAUGAUUUAGUAAAUGUUUAAGGAAAGAUUUUCUUGACUUAAAAAGCUGAAGAUGUAAAUACUACACAGCAUCCUGAGUUUCUGUUAAUCAACAUGAGGAUGAUUCAAACAGCCAGCUGUCCCAGCACUGAGGAGGAAACACCAUGAUAUGUUGAGGACAGCUACAGUUCACUGACUCUGUGUGUUUGCAUAUCUGUCCUGCCUCUCUGCUCCCAGCCGUUAAGAGGCCAGUGUUGAUCAGUGGCUGUCCAGGCCUUUCAGAGCCACUGACACGCCGGCAGCACAAUGAUGAUGUCACUGAUUCUACUGCUGGCCACCCUGGGGCUCCUUGUUCAGGGUUCAUCAGGACAAAUCGUCCUGACUCAGUCUCCUGGAUCUCAGUCUGUUGUUCCAGGACAGACUGUCUCUCUCAGAUGUAAAACCAGUACAAGUGUUAGUAGCUACCUCAGCUGGUACCUUCAGAAACCUGGAGAAGCUCCUAAACUCCUGAUUUAUACAGCUUCAACCCGUCACUCUGGAGUUCCAGGUCGUUUUAGUGGAAGUGGAUCUGGGACUGACUUCACUCUGACCAUCAGUGGAGUUCAGGCUGAAGAUUCAGGAGUUUACUACUGUCAGCAGGGUUACAGCAGACCGUUCACACAGUGAUACAACGUCGUACAAAAACCUCCCUCAGCUGG